AACGAACGCUGGCGGCAUGCCUUACACAUGCAGGUCGAACGGCAGCACGGGGCAACCUGGUGGCGAGUGGCGAACGGGUGAGUAAUGCAUCGGAACGUACCUUUCAGUGGGGGAUAACGUAGCGAAAGUUACGCUAAUACCGCAUAUUCUGUGAGCAGGAAAGCAGGGGAUCGCAAGACCUUGCGCUGAUUGAGCGGCCGAUGUCAGAUUAGCUAGUUGGUGAGGUAAAGGCUCACCAAGGCGACGAUCUGUAGCGGGUCUGAGAGGAUGAUCCGCCACACUGGAACUGAGACACGGUCCAGACUCCUACGGGAGGCAGCAGUGGGGAAUUUUGGACAAUGGGGCAACCCUGAUCCAGCCAUGCCGCGUGAGUGAAGAAGGCCUUCGGGUUGUAAAGCUCUUUCGGCCGGGAAGAAAUCGCACGGGCUAAUACCCUGUGUGGAUGACGGUACCGGAAUAAGAAGCACCGGCUAACUACGUGCCAGCAGCCGCAGUAACAC
rnacentral:rRNA from 1 species